CAACUUUCAAACAACGGAUCUCUUGGUUCUGGCAUCGAUGAAGAACGCAGCGAAAUGCGAUAAGUAGUGUGAAUUGCAGAAUUCAGUGAAUCAUCGAAUCUUUGAACGCACAUUGCGCCCUUUGGUAUUCCAAAGGGCAUGCCUGUUCGAGCGUCAUU
rnacentral:rRNA from 1 species